GUGGAGAGAAGAGGAAAAAAGAAGUAGUCGAGUUUGAAUCUCACAAGGUUACUGUGCUGGAAGAAAUGGAAAUGAUGCAGGCAUGGAGAAGAAAUUUGGAGGAAGACAUGGAAAAGCCAGAAGAUGCCACCUCCAUCACUUCCGUCAUCAAAGAGAAAGGAGGAGGGUAGUUACCGGAAUGGCAGUGACCGAGUACACUCUUCUUCCUCCAACCACCCCAGUCACAGAGGUUUGUUCAGAGGUAAACACAUGGUCCAAAUCAGCCUAGAGUUCACCCAGGAAGACAGCUGUUUCUCUCUGCUACGGUCAUCAGGAGGAGAGUGAACCCUGUCCUUGAGUCAGAACCUCCUGCCAGGGCACAGGCAUGUGGAAGAAUACAAUAAAGCUCCCAUUGACUCAACUGACUGGAAAUCAGAGGUGAUGGCAGCCCUAUUGAUGUAAUCCAUACAAAUCAGUUUGCAGCAGAAGACAGCAGUGUGGAGAAGGGCUUGGAGUAGAAGUGAAUGGGACAAAUGGAAGAUACCCAGCACUGAUCAUCUGCCAAUGUUCAAACAAGAGUUUAGAGUUUGACUCUCCCCAAGCUUCCUUAACAGCCUCGAAUACAGUAUAUUCUUCAUAGCAUUGUCCCAGUUUUUUAGCUCAACAAGUUCACAUAAACCAUGGUUUCUGCUAAGAGAAUGCCUUUUGAACCUUUUUGAAGGACACCCUAGUGGCAGAAGGGAAUCAAUAUUUAAUCAAUUUUUUUUGCCAGGAUAUCUGAGAGCAUAGCUUGAAAUUUACUGUGCAUAUGAAAUUUCUUCCAUGUUUCUUUUCAGCUAAAUAAUUGAUGUGAGUUUUGAAUUGUACUGCAUAAAACCCUUGUUUGUUCUUAUACCGAAAUUAAUUACACAAAGGAAAAAAGAAAACCAAAAAAAGAUCCUAACUUUUUAAGAUAGUCUUUUCAGAUCUGUCAAUUUCCAAUAAUAAAGUAAAAAUAAGAUCAUGCUUUUUUUCUUGAAUCUAUAUAAUGUUAGAAGCCAUAAAUAUUACAUCUUCACAUUCCUAUCUAUCAUCCUCUGCCGUGGCUGAUACUACUUUUCAGUAAAACUCUGCUCAGUGAGGUUCUGGUAUUCCUUAAGAUGGUAUCGCUUGUUAAAUAAGACACGAAAGGUAUUGCAU